rnacentral:sRNA from 1 species
CAGAUUGGGAAACUCAUCAAAUUUUAUAGAAAAACCGAGACAAGCCACUGGGUCGAUGGCGGGCCCCACGCCGCAAGGCGUUGCCUCUUCAGGCACAGGCGGAUUACAAAGAUCCAGGCGGCACUCAAAUCCUGUCAUUCGGAGUUUCAUCACAUUCCUUUGGUGUGGACCU